GCCGCUUUAGCUCAGCUGGUAGAGCACCGCAUUCUUACUGCGUGGGUCGUGGGUUCGAGUCCAACACGCGGCACCA
rnacentral:tRNA from 1 species